GUAAUGUCCUGAAUGUUUUAACAUUUGACAGGUAACAAGGCGGACAAGAAAUCCACCACCAAGCAACCUCAGAGUCCUAAGGAGCAGCCGAAGAAAGGUGAUCAGAAAGGAGAUGAUGCCAAAAAGCAAGGAGGACAGCCGAAGGGAGAGAAGCAAUAAUUUCCAGGCCUUCGUGAAGCUGGCUCUGGAGACUCUCCUGGGCUCUUGUCGACGCAAGCAUGGGGGCCCCCAGGGUAGACAGGGCUGAGGUUUGCUCCUCCCACCACCCAGCAUCCAUCAGACCUUCGCUAAGCCUCUGUAGUCUGUCCCUACUGUACCUCCUCACAUGGGUCUCAGGUUUGAAUAACGCUGCUGAUUUGCUCAUUGGAAGUUGGGCCAAUAUAAAGACUCCUGAGACUCUGUGACCCUGCCCUCAUCUGUUCAUUUGACUCCGCCCGUGUCAUAGAUCUCAACUGUGACGUACAUAAAUGAACUGAUUUGCAAAUAAACAUGAUUUCAUACGCUUGC